rnacentral:misc_RNA from 1 species
GAUGAAGAACGUAGCGAAAUGCGAUAAGUAAUGUGAAUUGCAGAAUUCAGUGAAUCAUCGAAUCUUUGAACGCACAUUGCGCCCCCUGGUAUUCCGGGGGGCAUGCCUGUCCGAGCGUCAUUACUGCCCUCAAGCGCGGCUUGUGUGUUGGGCCUUCGCCCCCCCCGGGGGCGUGCCCGAAAGGCAGUGGCGGCGCCGUGCCCGGUCCUCGAGCGUAUGGGGCUUUGUCACCCGCUCUGGAGGCCCGGCCGGCCGCCGCCGACCCGCCCAGACCUUUAACCGGUUGACCUCGGAUCAGGCAGGGAUACCCGCUGAACUUAAGCAUAUCAAUAGCGGAGGA